GCACCAGACUCCUACGGGAGGCAGCAGUGGGGGAUAUUGCACAAUGGGGGAAACCCUGAUGCAGCGACGCCGCGUGAGUGAAGAAGUAUUUCGGUAUGUAAAGCUCUAUCAGCAGGGAAGAAGAUGACAGUACCUGAGUAAGAAGCCCCGGCUAACUACGUGCCAGCAGCCGCGGUAAUACGUAGGGGGCAAGCGUUAUCCGGAUUUACUGGGUGUAAAGGGGGCGCAGACGGCGAUGCAAGCCAGGAGUGAAAGCCCGGGGCCCAACCCCGGGACUGCUCUUGGAACUGCGUGGCUGGAGUGCAGGAGGGGCAGGCGGAAUUCCUGGUGUAGCGGUGAAAUGCGUAGAUAUCAGGAGGAACACCGGUGGCGAAGGCGGCCUGCUGGACUGCAACUGACGUUGAGGCCCGAAAGCGUGGGGAGCAAACAGGAUUAGAUACCCGGGUA
rnacentral:rRNA from 1 species